GACAUAUAUCACUGAACCACCAAG
rnacentral:siRNA from 1 species